ACAACCACAACAAUAAACACAACCACAACAAUAAACACAACCACAACAAUAAACACAACCACAACAAUAAACACAACCACAACAAUAAACACUACCAGGGCAAUAAAUACAACAAGCACACAAAAUACAACCUCAACAAUUAGACCUACCACUACAAGCCCUGUAAGGAAUGAGACCUUUGAGGAGCCACCAACAGCAUUGUUUUGGGCCACUGUGGCCGCAUGUACAACUGGGGCCAUUGCUGCCUGCUUGUUUGGCAUAUUGAUCGUAACCAAAAGGAAAAUACAUCUCUCUCAAGUCAAAGGAGAUGGACAAGAAGGCGAGGCUUCCUUAUCAUACUACACUGGGUAUACGUACAGCUAUUCCUACUCCAGCUACUACGCAACAACACAGGACACUGACAACCAAACUCACGCUGUCACUGAUGGAGAGACUUUCAUCUUCUGAACCAGCUCCUUUUGUUCAGGGUUUUACCAGCGGUUUGACUUGACUUUAAUGUAUUGACCUAACCUCUGUGACCUACACCUGACCUUGAUGUCCAUCACUUGACAUGGAUGUAUAUAACUUGACCUGGAUGUAUAUAA